rnacentral:rRNA from 1 species
UAGGGAAUCUUCGGCAAUGGACGAAAGUCUGACCGAGCAACGCCGCGUGAGUGAAGAAGGUUUUCGGAUCGUAAAACUCUGUUGUUAGAGAAGAACAAGGACGUUAGUAACUGAACGUCCCCUGACGGUAUCUAACCAGAAAGCCACGGCUAACUACGUGCCAGCAGCCGCGGUAAUACGUAGGUGGCAAGCGUUGUCCGGAUUUAUUGGGCGUAAAGCGAGCGCAGGCGGUUUCUUAAGUCUGAUGUGAAAGCCCCCGGCUCAACCGGGGAGGGUCAUUGGAAACUGGGAGACUGGACUGCAGAAGAGGAGAGUGGAAUUCCAUGUGUAGCGGUGAAAUGCGUAGAUAUAUGGAGGAACACCAGUGGCGAAGGCGGCUCUCUGGUCUGUAACUGACGCUGAGGCUCGAAAGCGUGGGGAGCAAACAGG